rnacentral:rRNA from 1 species
GCCAGCAGCCAUAUCACUCUGCAACUCACAACUGGCAACCUAUUGAAGCUAAGCAGGUGUGAGCCUGAAAGGUACCUGGAUGGGAGACCUCCUGGGAAAAAAAAAGGUUGCUGCUGGAA